GAUGAACGCUGGCGGCGUGCCUAAUACAUGCAAGUCGAGCGAACAGAUGAGGAGCUUGCUCCUCUGACGUUAGCGGCGGACGGGUGAGUAACACGUGGAUAACCUACCUAUAAGACUGGGAUAACUUCGGGAAACCGGAGCUAAUACCGGAUAAUAUAUUGAACCGCAUGGUUCAAUAGUGAAAGACGGUUUUGCUGUCACUUAUAGAUGGAUCCGCGCCGCAUUAGCUAGUUGGUAAGGUAACGGCUUACCAAGGCAACGAUGCGUAGCCGACCUGAGAGGGGGGGCGGCCACACGGGAACUGAGACACGGUCAAGACGCCUACGGGAGGCAGCAGUAGGGAAUCUGCAGAAAUGGGCGAAAGACUGAAGGAGCAACGCCGCGUGAGUGAUGAAGGUAUUAGGAUCGUAAAACUAUGUUAUUAGGGAAGAACAAAUGUGUAAGUAACUAUGCACGUCUUGAAGGUACCUAAUCAGAAAGCAACGGAUAACUACGUG
rnacentral:rRNA from 1 species